rnacentral:rRNA from 1 species
UACAGAGGGUGCUAGCGUUGUUCGGAAUUACUGGGCGUAAAGGGCGCGUAGGCGGCUUGUUUAGUCGGGUGUGAAAUCCCGGGGCUCAACCCCGGAACUGCAUUCGAUACUGGCAGGCUAGAGACCGGAAGAGGUGGGUGGAAUACCCAGUGUAGAGGUGAAAUUCGUAGAUAUUGGGUGGAACACCGGUGGCGAAGGCGGCUCUCUGGGCCUUUCCUGACGCUGAGACGCGAAAGCGUGGGGAGCGAACCGG